rnacentral:rRNA from 1 species
GAUGAACGCUAGCUACAGGCUUAACACAUGCAAGUCGAGGGGCAUCGGGAAGAAAGCUUGCUUUCUUUGCCGGCGACCGGCGCACGGGUGAGUAACACGUAUGUAACCUGGUUCUUACAGGGGGAUAGCCUUUAGAAAUGAAGAUUAAUACCCCAUAUACCGUUAGUAUUGCAUGAUACAAACGGGAAAGCUACGGUGGUAAGAAAUGGGCAUGCGUCCCAUUAGAUAGUUGGCGAGGUAACGGCUCACCAAGUCGACGAUGGGUAGGGGUUCUGAGAGGAAGGUCCCCCACACUGGUACUGAGACAGGGACCAG